UAUGGCACCAAGGAUUAAAAACUGAUGAACUUGUACAGAUUUAAUUUAUAGAGAAUGUCUGAGCUUAUCUGUGCAGGUGGUCAAGAGGAAUAUAUGAAAUACAGUGAAAGGUAAGGUGUGUAAAGCAGAUACUUUUUGAGUGUUUUUGUGCUGUAUUAUUUUAAGGUCAGCUAUUAGGAGCUAUGUUUUCAUUCUGUCUCUCCUGUUCCUUCAUCCUCACCUAUUUUACCUCUUCCUAUUUGCCUCUCUCUUAAUUUCUAUUCUCCUCUCCUCCCUCUACCUUGUGACAGGACCAGCAUCCCCAACUGACAAACCUGACAUCAACUCAACCAUUCCAAAGACCACCUGGACCUCCGAUCCCAAUGUACUCCCCAUCAUGCACUUCUCAAACCAAUGCAUCAACUGCUCUCUCCAUCCAUAAUAGCCAAUUUGGAGGACUUUCCUCCUGCCAAUCUUGGACUGCUCUUCCAUGUUUAAUUAAAUCUGGGUCCUCCAUCAGCAGUCAAUUUUCCAUGACGUCGAUGAAUAUAACUCCAUCACCUUCAAAUUCUUUAGCGGUGACCCAGCCCAAACUGCGAGUCAUUCCUGAGACACAGGAACCAGCUGAAUGGCAAAUCAACUCUCCUUCAACUUUUGUGGAUCAGAAAUCCCUAUCAGACAACCUGGAAUGGAAAGUUGCAUCCACCGACAAGAAGUCAUCAUCUUUCCUAAAACCAACUCAAGUGAAUGUUGUACCAACCACACAAAUUUUCAGUUCUCAGAGCUCCCAGGGACAGAUACUUCCCAUCUUUAAAAGUAGCAUUCAGAAGCUCACCAGUGUUUUUCCUCCAACAUCUCUUUCCAAUAACCACAAGGUGAACAGCUUUGCACAGCAUGUACUGGCAGGUGGAGGUCUUGGUACUAAUCAUCACAGUUGCAGUCCUAAAGGUUCCUUCCAAAAAGUGAAACCACCCUUUGUGCCACGUUUCAAACCAAUUUUGUUGCAUACAAAACAGGUUGUUAGGAAGAAAGAAGGGGAAAAUGACAAAGAAAAGGAAUAUACCACACAAAAAAGCAGCAGAACAGCGAAUCCAUUUGAGGUUUCCAGCAAUACUUCAAUUGCACGUUCUAGUUUUUUCCCUGAAAAAUUCAAGCGAAAACAUGAGGAGGACAUCAGCAUUGUGAAAAAGAAAAGGGUUUGCCCAAAACCAGCUGUUCAGGAUGUGGACAUUGCAAAGUUUGCUGUUAAUGUUCAGGUUGUGCAUUUUGUCUUUCUCUAUUUUUGAUUGAUAGUUUCUGAUCAACAGUACCUGAUUAUAAUAUCCUGUCAUGACUUGUUUCAGUAUAAGGUUUGUAUUAUUAGAAUGCCAUGCUACUUGCUAACUCAAUCCAAAUUGCUUAUUGUUCUUCAGUCGGGAAAAGUUACGACUGCUACUUUGAUCUCUUGGUUGAAGACCAAAGGUAUUCCUGUUCAUUCAAGGGAGAAAAAGGAGAUUUUGAUGAAAAAGGUUCAAGAAUACAUUGCCACUCAGAAACCUGAAAUGUGAUCAAUAUUUGUGAGCUUGUGUUUGUUGGGUGUAGUUCAGUUCUCAGUAUUCUCAGUCAUUAAAUUUGUUACAACUUGAUGCAAUAGCUUUAACUAACUUUAUUGUGCAAUGUUGGCUUUAAAUGGAAUUCACCUGUAUUUCCAAAAGUAACUGGACAACACACACAAAGUUGGAAUGAACCCUUCCUACCGGACUGCAUAUUUUCACACAAUGUACAAAGGACGUCCUUUAUAAAUGUGUGCAACACCAACUGAAACCCGGUUGUAAUUAAGAUCGCAUGAGGUAAUGAGCGGACUGAAAUUUAACAUGGAAUAGUUGUUGGAUAACAGAGUUCCAUGGUAUUUCCAAUACAACUGUGAGUCAAUUAUUGUCAAUCGAUCAACUGUGAGUGAUGUCUUGAGGUAAUUAUUUGUUUAAUUUUUUUAAGCGACACGCACACAUUAUAACUGUGAGCAGUUAUUCCAGGGCCCAAGCCCUGGCAUAAUUCUAUCCGUUAUGGGUGCCAGACCACGUAACAUAUGAAGUUUACAUUUUCAAACUAUAUUCCCCAUGGGUAGUCCAUCAUAUUUAUGGUUUCACAUUCAUUGGUUCAGCAGUUUGAGAGAAGAUGAUUUUUUAAUACUUUACAUUCGAUCCAACAUGGUUGCCUGAUCACAUGACUGAUGACGUUUCAAUUUCCAAUCUAUAUUCCCCAUGAAUAGUCAAUCAUAUAUAUGAAGUUUUUUUUAUCCAUCAAUUAAAUGGUUCAGGAGAAGGAAUCAUUUUUAGGUUUUUGUUCAAUCCAAUAUGGCUGCCAGACCACAUGACCGUGAUGUUUUGUGAUAAUACUUUUAUCCCCAUGGAUAAUCGAUACUAUAUUUAGUUUUGUAUCCAUUAGUUCAGCAGUUUGAGAAGAUUUUUAAUCCAU
rnacentral:lncRNA from 1 species